GGCCUCGUUGCUUAGUUGGCUAGAGCGUUGGCUGUACUAAAGUCUUCCCCUUACUGCCGUGGGUUCAAAUCCCACAGAGGCCA
rfam:Schistocephalus solidus strain NST_G2 genome assembly, scaffold: SSLN_scaffold0000304